GAUGAACGCUGGCGGCGUGCCUAAUACAUGCAAGUCGAGCGAACAGAUGCGGAGCUUGCUCCUCUGACGUUAGCGGCGGACGGGUGAGUAACACGUGGAUAACCUCCCUAUAAGACUGGGAUAACUUCGGGAAACCGGAGCUAAUACCGGAUAAUAUAUUGAACCGCAUGGUUCAAUAGUGAAAGUCGGUUUUGCUGUCUCGUAUAGAUGGUUCCCCGCCGCAUUAGCUAGUUGGUAAGGUAACGGCUUACCAAGGCAACGAUGCGUAGCCGACGUGAGAGGGUGGUCGGCCACAUGAGAACGGAGACACGCACCAGACGCCUACGGGACGGAGCAGUAGGGAACCGGCCGCAAUGGGCGAAAGCCUGACGGAGCAACGCCGCGUGUGUGAUGAAGGUGUUCGGAUCGUAAAACCCUGUUAUUAGGGAAGAACAAAUUUGUAAGGAACUAUGCCCGUCUUGACGGUAACUAAUCAGAAAGCCACGGCUAACUACGUG
rnacentral:rRNA from 1 species